rnacentral:tRNA from 1 species
GAUUUAAUAUUUUGUUUUUGAAGCUUGUUACUUUGUUUAUUCUAAGUAAGUCU